GACGAAGGGUACAAGCGUUGUUCGGAAUUACUGGGCGUAAAGCGCGCGUAGGCGGAUGAGUAAGUCGAUUGUGAAAUCCCUGGGCUUAACCUGGGAACUGCAGUCGAAACUGCUUAUCUUGAGUGCCUGAGAGGAUGGCGGAAUUCCCGGUGUAGUAGUGAAAUACGUAGAUAUCGGGAAGAACACCUGAGGCGAAGGCGGCUAUCUGGCGGUGCACUGACGCUGAGGCGCGAAAGCGUGGGGAGCAAACAGG
rnacentral:rRNA from 1 species